rnacentral:rRNA from 1 species
UGGGGCGAAGCCUGAUGCAGCCAUGCCGCGUGUGUGAAGAAGGCCCUAGGGUUGUAAAGCACUUUCAGUGGGGAGGAAAGGUUGAAGGUUAAUACCCUUCGGCUGUGACGUUACCCACAGAAGAAGCACCGGCUAACUACCGUGCCAGCAGCCGCGGUAA